AAUCAUCUGUCAACACAAAUAAAAGAUAAAUGGAGUGAACAGAUGGCUCGUUUGAGUCGAAAAAUGGCCCUCCGUACCAGAAAGAGUGUCCCCUGACUCAACACCUUUGUAUCCCCAUUUGCAAGCCGUAUCCAUACUCUCAGCAGCAUACCUGCAAUACAUGAUAAUGAACACCAACUACAUUCGUAAUAAAUGUUUGUUUUUCAUCCACGUCGAUAAUUUCUUGCAUUUCUUGAUGCAGAUACUCACUUGCUCACACAAGAAGAUAUGUGACUACAUUCUCUCCAUGAGGCAAGAUCGCUGGACCAGAGUCCCUGUUUGCAACAAUGGAUGUGGCAUAACGAAUCAGACUAUAGAUUAUACGAUCAUUUUGCAAGUAAUACCAUUUUGAUCAUAAGCUUUACAGAUUCGACUUGUGCCUGAACCAGCGCAACUCCACAGUGUUUCCACCUUCGUCGCUUGUGAACCCAACAUGCAUUGGCUAACAAAGGCGAAACCACAACUAAUCGACAAUCACAGUGAAACCAGAAUUCAUGCAGCGUCGAUCAGAGGUCCCGUGAUGGUAAUGUGAGAGUUGAUUGGUGAAGUUCCGGAUGGCACCUGCGACGCACAUAUCCUUCGCACCCUUUGGGUCAUGGCAGUCCCCUAUGUUCAUCCGUCAAUAUCAGAUACCAUAACA